rnacentral:rRNA from 1 species
GACGUAGGGAGCGAGCGUUGUCCGGAUUCAUUGGGCGUAAAGAGCGCGCAGGCGGUUUGGUAAGUCGGAUGUGAAAACUCGGGGCUUAACCCCGAGCCUGCUUCCGAUACGGGCUGACUAGAGGUAUGCAGGGGAGAACGGAAUUCCUGGUGUAGCGGUGAAAUGCGCAGAUAUCGGGAAGAACACCGGUGGCGAAGGCGGCCCACUGGACGAACACUGACGCUGAGGCGCGAAAGCGUGGGGAGCAAACAGG